UUGUAGAAGAUCUGAAGAAAGGUCAACCAGAAGUUAACAAUUUGGAUUAGAAGAAAAGGACACCCUCAGUAGCUAAUGAGAGCAUAAGACUAUGUGGAUAUCAUCACACUCAGAAGACUACAUCGGACUUGGAAGACCUUCAUGCUUCAGAAGCACCUGAGGGACUCUACGUCUGUUUUGUCGUCUUUUGUAACCUGUCCAUAUCAAAGGAUCUAAGCAUAAUUUUGUGUUCUUCUGUCUACAUGUAGAAACAGACAAAUAACUUCAAGGGCAAUAAGAAUGAACGGAUAUUUCCUGUUUCAACAAAGGAUUUUCAAAUGACUAUCCAACAAAAUUAUGCAUAUCAGAAAAUUGCUCAACGUCCUUGAUAUCAAACUUCUUAAUGAAUCUUUUUGUACUGACAAUCUUCUCCAACUUCUCUCAAAUUCUUGCCUAUAUAAGGAGCUGAAAACCUGAAGAAGAUUAACAAGACUCUGCUAUUUUACUGUUCUAUUACUCUAUCAAAUCUAAUAGCGGAAAACACUUAGGAUUUUUGUAUUCAAGUUCAUAUCUUAGAAAAUCCUAAAGAGUUUGUUCAUUUGUUCAGUU
rnacentral:lncRNA from 1 species